GAGAGAUAAAAAUAUUAAAAACUAAUCAGAAUUAAAUAUUUAAUCUAUAGUUAACUAAAUUUUUCUAACGGAUUCUAACGGUAGGAAUGUAUUUGAGGACAAUAUUAAGACUGUUGUAGGGAUCAUAUAUGAAAAUUGAACUUUAUAAAAAUAUAUUUAUUAUUUACUAUAUUUACAUGAACACGUGUGAAAUUAAUCCUAAAUAUUUUAU
rnacentral:lncRNA from 1 species